rnacentral:rRNA from 1 species
UACGUAGGGUGCAAGCGUUAAUCGGAAUUACUGGGCGUAAAGCGUGCGCAGGCGGCUUUGCAAGACAGAUGUGAAAUCUCCGGGCUUAACCUGGGAACUGCAUUUGUGACUGCAUGGCUGGAGUGCGGGAGAGGGGGAUGGAAUUCCGCGUGUAGCAGUGAAAUGCGUAGAUAUGCGGAGGAACACCGAUGGCGAAGGCAAGCCCCUGGGCCUGCACUGACGCUCAUGCACGAAAGCGUGGGGAGCAAACAGG